GGGCAGCACAGAUCUGAGUCGAGUCUGAGACCUACACCACAGCUCACAGCAACACGGGAUCCUUAACCCACUGAGCUAGGCCAGGGAUUGAACUUGCGUCCUCAUGCAUACGAGUCAGAUUCAUUUCCACUGAGCCACGACAGGAACUCCCUAAAUAUAUUUGUUAAUAAACCAAUGGUUCUCCAGACUUUUCAGCAUACUGAGUGCUAAAGCAAACAAGAGAUUCUUCUCAAAAUAUGUUGGUGGCUUGAGAGAUGUCAUGACCAAGUGGUGAUCUAUACAGAAGGGAGCUCUGAGAAGCCAAGAUGUCUGAAGCAAGGUGCACAUCAGUGUGAGAGUCUUGAAGGAGCACAGUGGUGACAGCAUCCUGGAGGAGCAUGCCAGUGGCAGAGUCUUGGAGGAGGACAUCUGUGUGAGUAUCUUUAAGGUCCUCAUCGGUGGCAUGGCCUUGAGGCUGAUUCUUUGCCUCUACCAGACCUCUCCGUUCAAACUUACUAGCCACCUGUGUUUUAAGGCAAGGCUCCUUUGGGUCUUGGGCCAUUGACUUUGUCAGCGGUGAUAGGCUUGUGCUAGUGGCUGGAAACCCAGAUUUUCUCAGAUCUGCCUCCGAGGUUUGAGAGUUGGCCAGCACACUGGGUCCCAAGAUAACUUCCCCAGCAGGGUCCUCCCCAGUCUCCAUGCCCUCCACGGCCUCCAUGGCCUGUUUGGCCAUUGAAGAUGGGGACGUUAAGUCCAUCUCCAGUCCCGAGGCACUAUGGCAGGGGUGUUUGGAGGUCUGAGCCAGACACCUUUCCCUGGAUUUCCUCCUGGUCAUUGGUGAACUUGGACUGGGCCCUGAGAAAUUCCCCACCGGCAGGAUUCUGCCCCUGUGUUUGCGUGGGGGCUUGGGAGGAGGCGUCCUUCUCUCCUGCCCAGUCAGAGGGGCCUUUGAGGGCUCGUGGCUGACUCCAGGUAGAGGCCUGCCCAGGGCGCCAUGGACUUGCCUAGCUGCAGGUGAGGGGGCAGGCAGGGGACUCAGCAGGGUGGGAACGGACACUCUUGUUAGCACGUUCUCUCCCUGAUGGGGCUGAGGUUUUCCCAAGACCUUGGAAACGUUGGCUUUGGAGUGCUCCCUGGGUUGCUGGGUGGCUGAGGGGGAAAAGGUAGACCUUGGAAGGGGUGAGGGCUGAGCCCCACUUGGCUUGAGAUAUAUGGGUUCAAAAGCCUGGGUAGGAAAGCCCCACCUGUACCUUACCCGCAGCCUCAUAAUAUGUACUUCCAGCAUCUGUCGAAUGCCAGGACUAAGAAAGGAAAGCUGCCUGGAGGUGUUUACACAGGGCUUCCAAUACUUCAAGGAUGCUGGAUUUCGGAUUUCCUUGUGACUGUGGGACUUAGGAAGAGACUGGUUGGCAGCAAGCCAGGAUCGCCGUACAGUCACAGGGAUCAAACCCUUAUGAAUCUGCUGCACCUUUUUGCUCAGAUGGACUUUCAAGGUUCUUUCUAGAUGUCUUCUAUCUGGAACCCUGGGGAAACACUUUGCAGAGUCCCUCUGCAAGGAUCUUUCUGCCACCAUAUCAGAGUUCAUUUCCAGAAACGUGUCUGGGAGGCUGGCCCUGGAGAGAGCUUUUGAGACCCUACUGAGACAUGGCUCUAGAGCCUUGAUGAACUCCUUGCCUAGUUGGAUGGUCAUUUGGCAUCUCCUCUGGGAUCUGGUAGUGCUCCUGGACCUUGUCUUAUAUGGGUCCAGGCCACUACUUCCUGUGAGACUAGAGGGCUGCCUGGGUCCUUGUCGGCCCUGUGCUGCAUGCAUGUCUACCAAUGGGCACUGAAAUGGAUUCAGUUCCAGAGACAGUGGGAUCCCGAGAGACAGGCCCCUCUCUUUUUGAUUUUCAGUGAGCCUCUUUUGAAGCUGUUACUUCUGCAGCCAGGAGCAUGCCAGAGGUUGCGUUUCAGCUGGGGUGAAAUAGAGUGCCUUCUUCUGGAAUGUUGGGCAAUAUAGCCCAAGGGUCCCCAGCUGGGGUGGAGCAGAAGGUGGUCUGAACAGGAGAGAGACAGUGGGAGGAAGUGCUAGGCAUGGGUCUGAGCCAGGAAGAGGGCCUGGGACUAAGGCAAGUUUUGAGUCAAAGGCUGGGGUUGGGCCUCAGGGCAGGGCAAGAAGGAGUCCUGGGAAAAAUCUCCAGAUAGUCUUGGUGGCGUGGGUUCUGGAAAACCACUAGAGAUUCCAUAGAAUAAAACGGGGGAGCCUGUAGUUGAGAAGAGCUCCAAGGGACAAAAGCAGUAGCCACCAAUGCCUCGCUGUGCAGAGAGGGGAGACCCCAGAAGAGCUGGCUGUGUGUGCACUCAAAGUGGUCCCUCAAGACCUCGAGGUAUAAGAACUGCUGAGGACCGGGCAGCAGCUCUGCUUUGUCUUUAUGUUCGCAAAGGAUGGAGGGGUUGUAGCAUCCUGCUGCCCACUCAGUGAUGUCCAUAUCAUCCCCAAAGAGCUCAGGGGGUAGUCUGAGCUCCUUUGUUUUGAAAAUGACC
ensembl:lncRNA